rnacentral:tRNA from 1 species
GCCCACGUAGCACAGUCGGUAGUCGCGCUUCCUUGGUAAGGAAGAGGUCACCGGUUCAAGUCCGGUCGUGGGCUCAA